AUUUGAGAACCACCCCGAGGGUUGGAAAAAUCUGCAGGGGUUAAAAUUAUGUAGCCCUUGUCAAUGCCUCCACACAUCCCAGCCAACUCCCAACAUUCUUACUCAGAUAUUGGUUUCAAAGAAAGACAUUCCAAAUUGGAAUCUGUCAAACUCGUGAAGAUAAAUGUCUAUUCAGAGUGGCCGGAGAGGGCUAUACCAGGAGGUAGAGUCCAGACUUUGCAUGACCAAGUCCUGGCUCACACAGUCUCUCCAAAUGUUAUGCAAAACAAUAAUGGCUGAAAUAGAAUCCCGUGGGCAGACCAUGUGAGGAAGAAGCAACUGAAUGCAAAUAGACAAUUUUCAGUCUUAAAGUCUAAGCUACGGGGCAGAGUGACCUAUGGGUUGUAGUUAAACCUCACAGCUAAUUCUGCAAGAUAAAUGUUAUGAAGCCCAUUUUCCUGUGAGGGAUCUGUGGCUGAAGGAGAAACCACACUUGCAAACACAUGUACCUAAGCCAGGCUUUUAAAACUGUGGAGCCUAGGUUUGUAACUCUCUGGUCAUCUGCUUACCUAGGAAGGGCAAGGUCUUGUCUCCUAUCCCUUCAACAAUAUAGAUUAAGAAUUCCAUUGUAUAAUAUAUUCCAUUGUAUAAUAUCUUCCAUUCUAAACUAUAAUAAUCUAUCAUAUUAUUCACCGUCUCUGUUUUUACUAUUACAAUGUUUAAGUAUGAACAAAAAUUGUAAAGGGAUACAAUUAGAUACAAUGGAUAAGCCAAUUGCCUUUUUAGGAAGAAGGCUUUUGUAUUUUCCUCACAGAGAUGAUGCUGAAAAGAGUAUGUAACUUCCACACCUUGGCUUGUGAUGGUCAACUCAGAGCAAUAAUGAAGUGAUGACUUGUCUUAACACAGAAGAAUUUAAACAAAUGGUUUCCACAUCAGGCCAAUUUUAAGCUGAGUUGAUUUUUAUGUUUUUAAAGGGAAAAUACUCUGGAAGUUUCUUUCAUCUCCAGUUUUUCAGGACUGCAAAAGGAGUGUGUAUCUAUUGCUACGUAUAUGUGACAGUAAACUACUGACCUGAGCAUUAUCAUUGAUGCACAGGUAAUGUCUGCUGUGCUCAAAAGCCAUCAGGCUGAGCAUGAAUCUCUACAGCAUCAGGCUGACCCUCAUUAGUGUAGCACACCAGGCACAAAGUGGACUCAGUGAGUCUAGUAAGUGUGUGCAUUUCUACUCACAGCCUUUCCUUCUAGCUUUGACUCUUGUUCAAGUUUAUUGUUUGUGACACUAAUAUGGAACUUUCCAGUUGAUGUUCAAAAGAACAUUUUAUAUCAAAUUCAAUUUGAUUCCAACUACUGGAAGGAAGAAAAAGAUGUCUGAAGAUGACCAGUUAUAUAGGAUUGCUGCACUGGAAGAAAUAUUAAGAGAAGAUUAACCUUAUGCAACUCACAAAUGAUUCCCACAACAUGUAUUCCUGAGCAUUUUCACAACCCUUUGGUCUGCCGAAUGCAGUGUGAGUAUUAUACAUAAUUUACCUUACCAGCCCAUUGGCUUCUUGUAAAUGGAAGCCAUGCAUGAUCCUUUACUGUGCCGAUAGAUCCUCAAUGAUGAUCACACAAUAAACCAUGCAGAAUAGACUAAUGAAUGCUAACACCCCCAUAAUCCUGUUUCGUUUCUUUUUCUUUGAGAGAAUUGAAAAUUACAAUACUCAGAGCUCAGGGCCGGCUAGAUGGCUCAAUAUAUUAAGUGCACUUGCCACCAAGCUUAAUAACUUGUGUUUGAUUCCUGAACAUGGUAGGAUACAACUAACUCCUGCAAGGUGUCUUCUGCCUCUACAGGCCCACCAUGGGACACUCUCAUUGCCCCUGCCCCCACCACAAAAGCAAAAGGAAUAAAUAAAAUACUCAGAUUUUAGACCCACCUCCUUUAAUUGCUUAGGUAUGACUUCCUCAGAUUUUAUAUUUGGUUUCUACUAACUUCAAGGUCGUAAAAUAAAUGAGGAUGUGUCAGUCAGCUUUCUGUUACUGUAAGAAAUCCCCGAGGCAGUCAACAUUUAGAAAGAGGAAAGGCUUUUUUUUGGUGGGGGGUUCGAUGUAGGAGGGCUCUGUCCAUGACUGAUUGCCUACUGUUUGGGCACAUCAGUAAAGCAGUAUGUCACAGCAGAUGGCAAGCUGUUCUCCUCCCAGUGGGGAAGCCAAGCAAGGGAGAGGCAGUAGCUGAGGUCCCCAUAUCCCUUUAAUGGCAUCCCUCUAAUGACAGGCAUACUUCCCAUAGGCUUCCAUGUCUUAAAAGUUCUACCACCUUAUAAUGUUGUCAUGGGCUGGGAACCAAGCCUUUAUGCAACAUGGGCCUUUGAGGAACUCUUAUUUAAAACCACCAGAGGAAUAACUUUUGCUUGCUCCAAAAAACUUGAUUUGCAAAUCAAGUUUUGAUUGCGACAGGAAUGAACUGAGAAAAUACUGCCUGAUCUACGGGAGAUCUUAUAGUUGGAGGAAUUGCUGGGCACCAGAAUGUUCUCUGCAUUACCAUAACAAUUGUUACCUUUCCCUUCAAUGCUUCUAUCACUUGAGCAAUCAAAAGUGUUUAGUGCAGAAACUUCAUUCAGCCACAAACUCACGUUUAGCUGAUAUUUGUAUUUAUUCUAGGAGUGCUUUAUUGUGCAAUGGCUAUCUGGGCUUUUAUGCUUUAAAACCAUGUGAAAUAGCGAGGAAAACACAUAUCUACUAAUUUCAAACUCAAACUUAAAAGAUGUCCUUGACUGUGACCUGUUAAUAUUGCGAGGAUCUAACCGUUCAGUGUGGGCAUGAAACCUAAGACCUAACAUGCUGAGAAGUAACGGAAUAUCUUGUUAAAACCCCUACACCUAUGGUGGUACCUGAUAUUUCCAUAAUAUCAUCGUGUAUCAUGUAUCAGUGGCACAUCCCUAUUCCCUUUGUCAUGCUCCUUUCAGGGGAAAAGUGACCUGAAAGCACUUUUGCUAUUUGUUUCCAGCUCCAGUUUUUGUUUGUUGUUUGUUUUGUUUUGUUUUGUUUUGUUUUUGUUGAAGAAAUUUAAAGUUCAGGGGCAUUAAAUACCCACUCAAAUCCACUGUCUAGUAAGUCAGAGUGUGAGACAAAUGGCAAGUUGCCUAACUCUAGCUCUAAUGAUGGUCUCCAUCAUUUCCGAGUUUAAAAACCUCAAGUGAUUACUUCUUAGUGUGUAUGUACAUGUGUGUGUGGGGGGUAGACACAUGUGUGCGCAUGUAAGCCCCAAAGUCGACACUGAGUGGCUUUCUCAAUUGCUCUCCACCAGGGUCUCUUUACUAAGCUUGGAACUCACCAUAUCCGUUAGAUUCCUUGGCUGGUGAGCCCAUGGGAUUCACCUGUUUCUGCUGCUCUCCUAGAACUGGGGUUACCAAUGCAAACCUCCCACACCCAGCUUUUGAUGUAGGAGCUGAGCAUCCAAACUUAUGGUUUGUUCUCCUGGUUGUGCGGCAAGUGUCUUACCACCAAGCCAUCUCAGCCACUUUUCUGUUGUGUCCGGCCAAUGACGUGUUUUUUUUUUUUUUUCCCACAUGUGUAUUUUCAUUAAGCAUUACUGCGUUUUGUUAGAGGCUUACCACUAAUGAGCC
ensembl:lincRNA